rnacentral:rRNA from 1 species
AGAGUUUGAUCCUGGCUCAGGAUGAACGCUGGCGGCGUGCCUAAUACAUGCAAGUCGAGCGAACAGAUAAGGAGCUUGCUCCUUUGAAGUUAGCGGCGGACGGGUGAGUAACACGUGGGUAACCUACCUAUAAGACUGGGAUAACUUCGGGAAACCGGAGCUAAUACCGGAUAACAUUUAGAACCGCAUGGUUCUAAAGUGAAAGAUGGUUUUGCUAUCACUUAUAGAUGGACCCGCGCCGUAUUAGCUAGUUGGUAAGGUAACGGCUUACCAAGGCGACGAUACGUAGCCGACCUGAGAGGGUGAUCGGCCACACUGGAACUGAGACACGGUCCAGACUCCUACGGGAGGCAGCAGUAGGGAAUCUUCCGCAAUGGGCGAAAGCCUGACGGAGCAACGCCGCGUGAGUGAUGAAGGGUUUCGGCUCGUAAAACUCUGUUAUUAGGGAAGAACAAAUGUGUAAGUAACUGUGCGCAUCUUGACGGUACCUAAUCAGAAAGCCACGGCUAACUACGUG